rnacentral:rRNA from 1 species
GUGGGGAAUAUUGGACAAUGGGCGCAAGCCUGAUCCAGCCAUGCCGCGUGAGUGAUGAAGGCCCUAGGGUUGUAAAGCUCUUUCACCGAUGAAGAUAAUGACGGUAGUCGGAGAAGAAGCCCCGGCUAACUUCGUGCCAGCAGCCGCGGUAAUACGAAGGGGGCUAGCGUUGUUCGGAUUUACUGGGCGUAAAGCGCACGUAGGCGGUUUGUUAAGUCAGGGGUGAAAUCCCGGAGCUCAACUCCGGAACUGCCUUUGAUACUGGCAAGCUAGAGUCCGGAAGAGGUAAGUGGAACUCCUAGUGUAGAGGUGGAAUUCGUAGAUAUUAGGAAGAACACCAGUGGCGAAGGCGGCUUACUGGUCCGGAACUGACGCUGAGGUGCGAAAGCGUGGGGAGCAAACAGGAUUAGAUACCCUUGUAGUCC